rfam:Rattus norvegicus chromosome 18, whole genome shotgun sequence.
GGGGAUUUAGCUCAGUGGUAGAGCUCUUGCCUAGCGAGCAUAAGGCCCUGGGUUCGGUCCCCAGCUCCA